AUUGAACGCUGGCGGCAGGCCUAACACAUGCGAGUCGAACGGUAGCACAGAGAGCUUGCUCUCGGGUGACGAGUGGCGGACGGGUGAGUAAUGUCUGGGAAACUGCCCGAUGGAGGGGGAUAACUACUGGAAACGGUAGCUAAUACCGCAUAACGUCGCAAGACCAAAGUGGGGGACCUUCGGGCCUCACACCAUCGGAUGUGCCCAGAUGGGAUUAGCUAGUAGGUGGGAUAAUGGCUCACCUAGGCGACGAUCCCUAGCUGGUCUGAGAGGAUGAACAGCCACACUGGAACUGAGACACGGUCCAGACUCCUACGGGAGGCAGCAGUGGGGAAUAUUGCACAAUGGGCGCAAGCCUGAUGCAGCCAUGCCGCGUGUAUGAAGAAGGCCUUCGGGUUGUAAAGUACUUCCAGCGGGGAGGAAGGCGGUGAAGUUAAUAGCUUCACCGAUUGACGUUACCCGCAGAAGAAGCACCGGCUAACUCCGUGCCAGCCGCCGCAGUAA
rnacentral:rRNA from 1 species